rnacentral:rRNA from 1 species
CGUAGGCGGAUGUUUAAGUCAGAGGUGAAAGCCCAGGGCUCAACCUUGGAACUGCCUUUGAUACUGGACAUCUUGAGUAUGGGAGAGGUGAGUGGAACUCCGAGUGUAGAGGUGAAAUUCGUAGAUAUUCGGAAGAACACCAGUGGCGAAGGCGACUCACUGGCCCACUACUGACGCUGAGGCGCGAAAGCGUGGGGAGCAAACAGGAUUAGAUACCCUGGUAGUCCACGCCGUAAACGAUGAGUGCUAGUUGUCGGCAUGCAUGCAUGUCGGUGACGCAGCUAACGCAUUAAGCACUCCGCCUGGGGAGUACGGUCGCAAGAUUAAA